rnacentral:rRNA from 1 species
UACGUAGGCAGCAAGCGUUGUUCGGAAUUACUGGGCGUAAAGAGUGUGUAGGCGGUGUUCUAAGUUUUUCGUGAAAUCUCCCGGCUUAACUGGGAGGGUGCGGCGAAAACUGGAAUGCUAGAGGAUGGGAGAGGUAAGCGGAAUUCCUGGUGUAGCGGUGAAAUGCGUAGAUAUCAGGAGGAACACCUGUGGUGUAGACAGCUUACUGGACCAUUUCUGACGCUGAGACACGAAAGCGUGGGUAGCAAACAGG